rnacentral:rRNA from 1 species
UACAGAGGUGGCAAGCGUUGUUCGGAAUUACUGGGCGUAAAGGGCGCGUAGGCGGUCCGAUAAGUCCCGUGUGAAAUCCCUCGGCUCAACUGAGGAACCGCACGGGAAACUGCCGGGCUUGAGUUCGGGAGAGGGAAGCGGAAUUCCCGGUGUAGAGGUGAAAUUCGUAGAUAUCGGGAGGAACAUCAGUGGCGAAGGCGGUCACCUGGACGAUAACUGACGCUGAGGCUCGAAAGCGUGGGGAGCAAACAGG